UACGGGGGGAGCAAGCGUUGUUCGGAUUUACUGGGCGUAAAGGGCGCGUAGGCGGCCACCGCAAGUCGACUGUGAAAUCUCCGGGCUUAACCCGGAAAGGUCAACUGAUACUGUGCGACUAGAGUGCAGAAGGGGCAACUGGAAUUCUCGGUGUAGCGGUGAAAUGCGUAGAUAUCGAGAGGAACACCUGCGGCGAAGGCGGGUGCUGGGCUGACACUGACGCUGAGCGCGAAGACCAGGGGAGCGAACGGG
rnacentral:rRNA from 1 species